rnacentral:rRNA from 1 species
GAAAUCCGGAUUAAUACCUCAUAAUAUUUCGAAUUCGCAUGUUUUCGAGAUUAAAGUUCAGACGGUUAGAGAUGGGCAUGCGUGACAUUAGUUAGUUGGUGAGGUAACGGCUCACCAAGACUACGAUGUCUAGGGGGUCUGAGAGGAUGGUCCCCCACACUGGUACUGAGACACGGACCAGACUCCUACGGGAGGCAGCAGUGAGGAAUAUUGGGCAAUGGACGCAAGUCUGACCCAGCCAUGCCGCGUGCAGGAUGACUGCCCUAUGGGUUGUAAACUGCUUUUAUUUGGGAAGAAACCCUCGCUCGUGAGCGGGGCUGACGGUACCAAAAGAAUAAGCAUCGGCUAACUCCGUGCCAGCAGCCGCGGUAAUACGGAGGAUGCAAGCGUUAUCCGGAUUUAUUGGGUUUAAAGGGUGCGUAGGCGGAAAUUUAAGUCAGUGGUGAAAUCCUACAGCUCAACUGUAGAACUGCCAUUGAUACUGAUUUUUCUUGAGUAUAGUUGAGGUGGGCGGAAUGUGUAAUGUA